AGUCCAAGACCACGGGUGAAAGAUCUGACAAAAAAGGGAGAACACCGAGAAGAGUGUGUUGAGGGAUAGAGGACGGCCGAGGAAUCAUCUAGCUUACUGAAGCAAAGGGAUGAUUCCUUGAAAAGUGCAACGGCAGU